rnacentral:lncRNA from 1 species
AAUUCUCUUCCCCCCCCCCCGGUCCCCCAAGUAACCCCGUGAAUCUAUACAUCAAGGUUUCCACUUUUCAAUAUCUCCAAUGUCAACGAGGAGGUGGUGGAAUAGGCAGAGGGCAGACACCACUUCGGAGGCGAUAUGCAGGCAGUGGAGGAAAGGGAAGACGAAGUCCCAACAAAUCGGGAAGCCGAGCAGGUUUUGGGGCUUGCGGCCCAUGCAGAAUAAUCGGACAUUUUUGACAUCCAAUAGAGGAAAAGGCAUGUAGAUGGCAAUUGAAGGCAUGAUGGAGAAGAUCUUAAUGUCGAUUGGAAUAUGGCAAAUUGGAUCACAGUCACGAACAUAAAGCAAACCCCCUAAAUCAUAAUCAUAGAUUAUUUUUCCUUCAAAAUCCGAUGAGUUAUAGAGAGAAAUCGAGUGUCGACGACGAGAAGCUCCGAAGUGCUUGCAAAGCAGCAGCUGAAGGCACGAAGGAGAAUAUCUUAAUGUCAAAUUGUCAAUUAAACAUCGAUUUUCAUUUUCAUGAAUAUUGGAAUUAUGUUUGUUACUCAAUACAUUUAUUUUUGGUUUAUUAAUGUUGCUGGUGAAAAUUUAUUCAUUUUGGAGGCUAUUUGCAUUCAAUAGGUCUUUGUGCACUUGUAAGAGGUCAUUGAUAUAUGUUCGCAAGUCAUAUGUAAUAGUUACUCAAGUCACA